AUUGAACGCUGGCGGCAUGCUUUACACAUGCAAGUCGAACGGCAGCACGGGGGCAACCCUGGUGGCGAGCGGCGAACGGGUGAGUAAUACAUCGGAACAUGCCCAGUCGUGGGGGAUAACACUUCGAAAGAAGUGCUAAUACCGCAUACGUCCUGAGGGAGAAAGCGGGGGAUCUUCGGACCUCGCGCGAUUGGAGUGGCCGAUGUCAGAUUAGCUAGUUGGUGGGGUAAAGGCCUACCAAGGCAACGAUCUGUAGCUGGUCUGAGAGGAUGAUCAGUCACACUGGGACUGAGACACGGCCCAGACUCCUACGGGAGGCAGCAGUGGGGAAUUUUGGACAAUGGGGGCAACCCUGAUCCAGCCAUUCCGCGUGAGUGAAGAAGGCCUUCGGGUUGUAAAGCUCUUUCGGCAGGAACGAAACGGCGAGCUCUAACAUAGCUUGCUAAUGACGGUACCUGAAGAAGAAGCACCGGCUAACUACGUGCCAGCAGCCGCCGUAAGAC
rnacentral:rRNA from 1 species